GCCAGGGUGGUGGAAUUGGUAGACACGCUCGACUCAAAAUCGGGUGCAGCGAUGUGUGUGGGUUCGAGUCCCAUCCCUGGUA
rnacentral:tRNA from 1 species